UGACCUGUAGCUCAAUGGUGAGAGCAGGAACCUUAUACGUUCAAGGUUAAGAGUUCAAAUCUCUUCAGGUCAA
rnacentral:tRNA from 1 species